rnacentral:rRNA from 1 species
GUCCACGCCCUAAACGAUGCUUACUGGAUGUUCGGCGCUUGUCGUUGUGCAUCUGAGGGAAACCAUUAAGUAAGCCACCUGGGGAGUACGCCGGCAACGGUGAAACUCAAAGGAAUUGACGGGGGUCGCACAAGCGGUGGAGCAUGUGGUUUAAUUCGAUGAUACGCGAGGAACCUUACCUAGGCUCUAAUGCUAUUUGACAGCUGGUGAAAGCCGGUCUCCCUUCGGGGCAAGUAGCAAGGUGCUGCAUGGUUGUCGU